GGCAGAGGAAGCGUGGCCGAGUGGUUUAGGGCGCUGGUCUUGUAAUCCGGAGGUCCCGGGUUCAAGCCCUCCAUCCUGCCA
rnacentral:tRNA from 1 species